rnacentral:rRNA from 1 species
UACGAAGGGGGCUAGCGUUGCUCGGAAUUACUGGGCGUAAAGCGCACGUAGGCGGACUCUUAAGUCGGUGGUGAAAUCCUGGAGCUCAACUCCAGAACUGCCUUCGAUACUGAGAGUCUCGAGUCCGGGAGAGGUGAGUGGAACUGCGAGUGUAGAGGUGAAAUUCGUAGAUAUUCGCAAGAACACCAGUGGCGAAGGCGGCUCACUGGCCCGGUACUGACGCUGAGGUGCGAAAGCGUGGGGAGCAAACAGG